GUAGAAGGAAGCAGAAGGCUGUGUGUGCUGUUUCUGAGCAGUCUCCUUUCACGUCAGCGCGUACAAAAUCCAUUCCUGCGUCCUGGGUCUGAAUGCGCUUGGACGGACAUAGAAAGAGGAAAUCAAAGAAAGAAAAGUAAAAGAAAAAAGAACCUAAGACGAAAAAACGACAAAACAAGCAGUACGUAAAAAUUCAGUUUCGAAAACAGCCACAGAAAUACAAAUCUACGCGAUGAACUGGCUGCAGUACUCCAAGGACGGGAAUGGUGGAGACAGCAGGAUGCAGAAGGGGAUUUUCAGGUCGUGGCUUUUUAAAAAAAAAAAAAUUAUUUUUUAUAGUUGAGCAGUUUAUAGUUAGUUGUUUUAA